AUUGAACGCUGGCGGCAUGCUUUACACAUGCAAGUCGAACGGCAGCGCGGGCUUCGGCCUGGCGGCGAGUGGCGAACGGGUGAGUAAUAUAUCGGAACGUACCCAAGAGUGGGGGAUAACGUAGCGAAAGUUACGCUAAUACCGCAUACGAUCUAAGGAUGAAAGCAGGGGAUCGCAAGACCUUGUGCUCCUGGAGCGGCCGAUAUCUGAUUAGCUAGUUGGUGGGGUAAAGGCCCACCAAGGCAACGAUCAGUAGCUGGUCUGAGAGGACGACCAGCCACACUGGAACUGAGACACGGUCCAGACUCCUACGGGAGGCAGCAGUGGGAAUUUUGGACAAUGGGGGGCAACCCUGAUCCAGCAAUGCCGCGUGAGUGAAGAAGGCCUUC
rnacentral:rRNA from 1 species